AACGAACGCCGGCGGCAUGCCUAACACAUGCAAGUCGAACGAUGGCUUCGGCCAUAGUGGCGCACGGGUGAGUAACGCGUGGGAACCUGCCUUUUGGUUUGGGAUAACUCCGGGAAACUGGAGCUAAUACCGGAUGAGCCCGAGCAAUCGGGGAAAGAUUUAUCGCCAAAAAGAGGGGCCCGCGUCCGAUUAGGUAGUUGGUGGGGUAACGGCCUACCAAGCCUACGAUCGGUAGCUGGUCUGAGAGGAUGAUCAGCCACACUGGGACUGAGACACGGCCCAGACUCCUACGGGAGGCAGCAGUGGGGAAUAUUGGACAAUGGGCGCAAGCCUGAUCCAGCAAUGCCGCGUGGAUGAUGAAGGCCUUAGGGUUGUAAAGUCCUUUCGGCGGGGACGAUGAUGACGGUACCCGCAGAAGAAGCCCCGGCUAACUUCGUGCCAGCAGCCGCGGUAAU
rnacentral:rRNA from 1 species